rnacentral:snRNA from 1 species
AGAUGCUAGGUGAACUGAUGUCUAUCACCUCAUUGGUCACCAGACUCUAUUCUUUUUACUAACCUGAUUGGUCAAAUGGGUAUCUCUUUCCUCCUUCUCCAUACCAUGUGUGUCUUAUCUGAAACAGUUCACUCAAUCAAGAAAGAUUAUCUGUCUUCAUAGAAGAGGACUCUUCUCACAGAGGUAUAUGAGUUAAGACUUUCUCCUACUAGAAUUUCCAAAUAAGGUUUAAUAGAUCCAUAGCUGUUAUACCUACAGCAAUUAAACUUAAAAUAAUUCUGUAUUAGGUCAGUAAAAAAACCUGAAUGG